GAUGAACGCUGGCGGCGUGCCUAAUACAUGCAAGUCGAGCGAACAGACGCGGAGCUUGCUCCUCUGACGUUAGCGGCGGACGGGUGAGUAACACGUGGAUAACCUACCUAUAAGACUGGGAUAACUUCGGGAAACCGGAGCUAAUACCGGAUAAUAUAUUGAACCGCAUGGUUCAAUAGUGAAAGACGGUUUUGCUGUCACUUAUAGAUGGAUCCGCGCCGCAUUAGCUAGUUGGUAAGGUAACGGCUUACCAAGGCAACGAUGCGUAGCCGACCUGAGAGGGUGAUCGGCCACACUGGAGCUGGAACACGGUCCGGGGUCCUACGGGAGGCAGCAGUAGGGAAUCUUCCGCAAUGGGCGAGAGCCUGACGGAGCAACGCCGCGUGAGUGAUGAAGAUCUUCGGAUCGUAAAACUCUGUUAUUAGGGAAGAACAAAUGUGUAAGUAACUGUGCACGUCUUGACGGUACCUAAUCAGAAAGCCACGGCUAACUACGUG
rnacentral:rRNA from 1 species